AGUGAACGCUGGCGGCAUGCCUAACACAUGCAAGUCGAACGGAAGCACAGUAAGAUCUUGCUCUUACGGGUGGCGAGUGGCGGACGGGUGAGGAAUACAUCGGAAUCUACUUUUUCGUGGGGGAUAACGUAGGGAAAGUUACGCUAAUACCGCAUAUGACGUAGGGGUGAAAGCAGUGGAUCUUCGGAGUUGGCGGGAUUGAAUGAGAGGAUGUCGGAUUAGCUAGUUGGCUGGGUAAAGGACCACCAAGGCGACGAUACGUAGUCGAUCUGAGAGGAUGAUCAGCCACACUGGAACUGAGACACGGUCCAGACUCCUACGGGAGGCAGCAGUGGGGAAUGUUACACACUAGUCGCAAGCCUGAUCCAGCCAUACCAAGUCAGUUAAGAAGGCCUUCGGGUUGUAAAGCCCUUUUGUUGGGAAAGAACAGCUGUCUCUUUAUACCCCGCUGUUCUGACUAUCCCCCAUAAAUAAUCACCGGCUAACUACUUG
rnacentral:rRNA from 1 species